rnacentral:tRNA from 1 species
AGUGCUGUGGCACAGCCGGUUAAAGCCGUGGCCUGCAGUGCCAGCAUCCUGGGUUCAAGUCCUAGCUGCUCCA